GGAAUUCGAAUCAGAAAUUUACUGAAAAAUUAUUUUAUAUUUCUUGCUACAAAUUCAAGACCUUCUUUUGCUAUAAUUGCUAUUUACAAUGUUUCUACCACAUUGGCCUUUUCCUUCUAGUUCAUUCAAGUAAGUUUUCUUAGCUUUUACGAAGUAUUUAUUAUUGAUAUAUAAAAUAUUAAAGUGACGACUCACUCCGACUGACGAUAGUGACAAAUACAAGCUAGCUGGUAUACAAAGUAAAAUUUGUAUUUUUCAUGAACCAUCUGGUGUUUUGCUAGCAGAAGUAAACCGUCGACGUUUUGCUCGAAAUGGUUUCGAGCGAAGGCCCUUCGUCAGGAGUUAGUAGCGAAAUUUAUAUACGAAGAUUUAAUACGAAGAUACAAAAUACAGUAUUAAAGAAUAUAUUUAGAAUAUUAAAAAUGUAAUCAAGAACGAGAUUUUGUUUUAGACUUUAGGCCGAUGGAAUUAAGGUAUCAGUUUACCGCCACCUAAAAUUUCAAAAGUUGAUGCAGAAUUCUUUCAUUAUUCAUUUUUCAUUAUUUUUCACGAUUUGAAUUUGUCGAAUUUCGACCGAAAAAAUGCAAGAAUAAUUUUGAUGAUUCUUGAGCUUUUUGCUAGCUAAUGAUAAUGCAUGUAUCAGCAGCUUCCCUCUGGGGCCGACCCCGGGGAUCCAACAGAGACCCAGAGGCAUUUGUCAAGUAUUUGUGUCCCUUUGGAGUGGGGGAAAGGUCAAAUUUGGUUCUCACCCUAAAACCCCCGGGAAAGUACCCGGGGAUUUGAUAAGAAACUCCCGGAUGUGGGCUAAAUCCCUUGUGACUUCUUCACAACACACACAGCAGUAUGCAAAUUAAAGAACUCCAAGCCAAUGUUUUUAACGCAAAAAAUACAUAUAUUCACGAUGCCAAUUUUAAUAAUCCCCCAAAAACAAUAUAAACAACAUUUGACUUGUUAAACAAGUCAUUGUUUAUAUUGUUUUUUUUUGGGAUUAUUACUAACUGUAAUAGUCAACAAAUGAGAGCUUAUUAAUAUAUACUGCUUGUACUGUUACCUGAUUGUGUAACUUGAUAUUGGAUCGAAAAAGGGUACGGCCCUCAGGGAUGGGGGAUUGGAUGUAAUACAUAUGCCUCAUACCCAGGAGGAAUUUGCUAAUAUUUGACUGUGUAAGAGGACCAAUCCCCCAGGGUUCCCGGGGGUUGACCCCAGGGGGAAGUCGCUGAUACACACACAACGAUUCAACAACAUAUGGAAAAUUCAUUUUAGCAACAAUACUACCUGAGUCCCAAGCGAAAAUUGGCGGGAAAAACUUGUUUAUGACUUAUGAGUUUAUAAUAGCGUUAUGUUUGUCACAAAAUUCAAAUUUUUGAUUAAAAACUACUUUAUCAGCAAGAUUAACUUAAGAAAUAAGUCACUAUCCAGAAAAAUAUCUAUUUCUACAAAUAUUUUUGUGUUAAACAAGGUUUUUUGUGCCAGGCAAUAGCUAAAUUUAGAUUAAACAUUCCAAUAAAGUAUUGCCAAACACUUCCAUAAUCCCCAAAUGCACGGUGACCGGCAUAUGUAAAAUUUACAUAAUUAAUUUAUUUGAUCUUCCUUGAAAAAAUAUAUCGAUUUAUAAAGUUCUUUGAUUCUCUAAACUUCUGAGUCAAUCUGUCUUCAUUGAUACAAAUCAAGGCCGGAUUUUGGUGGAAAUAGUAGGGGAGGUGGAAAAGAAUUCAGGGGAGGUGCAGCGGUUUAGCUCACCACCUCCAAUCCCCAUGCAGUUAGGGCUUAAUAGACCCAUUCCACUGACAUCACAAAUCCUUAAAGUGUCCUCCAGAUGCUCCCUAACAAUAUUUGUCCGGGUUCAACAACCGCAUAUAGUGCAAAAACUAACCAUUUUAAUACAAAAUUAUUAAUAAAUAUAAAGUUUUACAAAAUUUGCUUUGUAAAGCAAAAGUUAUAUUAUGCAUAGAUUGCUAAUUUGUUCUCCAGAUGCAUCGUCACCGGCGCGGUGACGUCAUGUGCAAUCACAGGCGGCCCAAUCUCUGAAUGUCCUAUAUAUUUUGAAUAUUUAACCGUUAUAAUAUUUUAAAAUAACAAAAUAAUUCAAAAAAUAUUAACAAUAUAUGUAAAAAAUGCAUCUCAUUUGUUAAUAGAAUCCAUUUGUUAUGUUUCUGAGUCUAGUUGAUGCGAUUGCUUUACGUUUUCGUCGUACUUGAACGGUCGUCAGUACUAUGGCACUGGACGACAUGGCCGUAUAGGACAUAAAUAACUACAAUUUUAGGCUAGCCACUUAUCUGAUAUACUCUCCGACAUCGAGUCCAAUAUCUCGCCUCAGAAUCGUCGCAGAGCAAUAAAUUUCACAUCGUCUAAUAGCACGAACGUUCCUCUUUCGAAAGAACUUGGUUUCUUCACCAUUGCGGCAAUUCCCGCGACACACGACGAACUUUGUUUGUCAAAAGUCCAAAUUUCCAUUUUCGACAGACGCGCUAACCCCAUGAUCGUCGCCACGAGAGCUGCUCAGCAACCUGGCCUCCUCGUUUGAAAACAUUCCAUCAGGGGGGGAGGAGCUGGACUGGAAUGAGGAGGCUUUCAAAGCAACGCGAUAAAACACACGAUAUAAAUAGAAAUUAUUACUUUAUCAGGCUGUAUUCGACAAUAAACAAGUAUUAGACAUUUAUAUCGUAUACUAUCAUACUGCGUAAAAUCUUUACUGGCAUCGAUUGGUUUAAGGUGUCACCAAAUGGUUCCACGCGCUAAUCACCUCAAAAGCAAUCUGGGAACGAGAUUAAUGAUGUGUUCGACCAUCAAUGAUGUGCUCGACCGUCGACGGUUUCGAAAUUUGCGGCGACGAUCAUGGGGUUAGCGCGUCUGUCGAAAAUGGAAAUUUGGACUUUUGACAAACAAAGUUCGUCGUGUGUCGCGGAAAUUGCCGCAAUGGUGAAGAAACCAAGUUCUUUCGAAAGAGGAACGUUCGUGCUAUUAGACGAUGUGAAAUUUAUUGCUCUGCGACGAUUCUGAGGCGAGAUAUUGGACUCGAUGUCGGAGAGUAUAUCAGAUAAGUGGCUAGCCUUGUAGUUAUUUAUGUCCUAUACGGCCAUGUCGUCCAGUGCCAUAGUACUGACGACCGUUCAAGUACGACGAAAACGUAACAAAUGGAUUCUAUUAACAAGUGAGAUACAUUUUUUUACAUAUAUUGUUAAUAUUUUUUUAAUUAUUUUGUUAUUUUAAAAUAUUAGUACGGUUAAAUAUUCAAAAUAUAUAGGACGUUCAGAGAUUGGGCCGCCUGUGGUGCAAUGGGUCUAUUAGAACAAACCAAAGUCAACGACAUGACGUAUGCAUGUAGUGUACAUGUCAUAUGUAUCAGUUUAUUAAUGAAUUCCAAUUUUGCCCUUCAUCACAAUCACUGCAAAGUUUCAUUCAAAACAUUGCAUUGAAAGGGUACACAAAGAUGAAUGGCUAUCACUGUUUCAAUUUCAACGAAAAACGUUCUUACGAAGUGUGGACCCUAAGCAACAAAAAUGUCUAAAAAUGUCUAAUGCAACCCUAAGCAACCAAAAAUUUUCACUCUGAUCUAUCAUCGAAAUUUUCCCAAGGGGAAGUGCAUGACUUUUCAGAACAGGUGCAAAAAUUCUCAGGGGAGGUGGAAAACGAUCUCAGAGGAGGUGCGCACCUCUCCACACCUCCCCUCAAAAUCCGGCCGUGGUACAAAUCAUCGAAAACAAACAGAUGUUUUGAGUUUUAACUCAUUGAAUGCCAGCUCCCUCCAAUUGACAAUUAAAAUCGCCUACCAUUAGACAGAGUAAAACACUAAAGUAAGGUGGGUUAUUCCUAUAACCUCAAUUAUUUACUACAGCCUUUCAUUUCUGUUAAACGAAAUUGGCUAUUAAGUCAGUGAUUUAAAUCCAUUGUCAGGCGGGAUGAGGAUAAAUACAUUAUUAACAUUUUUGACAGUUGGUGUUGAGACAGAUCAAUAUGCAUAGCCAACGCAUUUGAGGACCAUGGGCAAUAUUUUAUCAGGCUGAGCCUGUUUUGUGUAUACUACGUACCCCGGUACCGUAGGUAGUUACUUACUAGAGGAUACACAAUAUAUGGCGGGUUCAACAGAAUUGCCCGAGAAUGGAUGAGAGUUUAGUAAAUGGCAUAGUAAACAAGAAAGUCCAACAUUAUUGUGAAUCAAUGUGUAAUUUUUAAAGCAAAAUUGUUAUUAAAAAAACACACAGAGCUUGUUCUGACAUUAUAGGGAUAUACCGGAUCUGGGUACCUGUAUCCAACAUAGACGGAUUUUCAUAUUUUUUACUGGGGUGGUGCCAGAAAUUUUAGGGGGGUGAGCCGUGAGCAGGUGACUGAAGCAACACAAAGUGUCACCAAACCCCAGUAAGGUCUAUAUUCUAGGGGUGGAGCACUAGAGCCGCGAGGGGGAGUCUAGAGAGCAGAAAACAAAGUAUCCCUGGAAAAAUUUGAAAAAAAUCAUGAUUUCUAGCUUCGAAAAAACGUUUUUUGAAGUUGUCAUAUCAAUGGAUUUGGCCUGUCCGAUCAGGGCCGUAGCUAGCAUGUAUAGUUUGGGGGUGGGGGGUGUAGGCCAAAUAUUUCCGAAUGACGAAAAAAAUUUCCGAAUAUUUCAUGGCAUACGAAGCAACGAAGGUGUUUGCUAUCUGGAAAAUGAAGACGCAAUUUACAAACAAAAAUACACAUAGCCCACAUAGUUUCCACAAAGACAUAUUACAGAAGUAUGCAGUGCCGUAGGAAGCUCUUUUUGAUUGGGGGCUGGGAACGAGGGCCGAAGGCCCGAGGAAAUUUUUAAAUUUAGAUUCUCUGAAAUGCCAUUUCCUGGACUUUGGGGGAAGUUUUGACAGAAUUCUGAUGGUCAGAAAACAGAGUUUUAAUAUGAUAUUUGUGAUGUUACUCUGAGUAUGCAUCCACAGUGGGCAAGCUGAAAAGUGUGCCUGGCCACGGUGGGAGUCGAACCUGCGACCUUUGGGAUACUAGUCCAAUGCUCUCCCACCUGAGCUACGUGGUCAAGUCGGUUCGACUUGUUGAUAUUUCGGAACUGAAUCUAGUUCCUUCGACAUCAGUGUAAUCUUUGAUAUGAUUUAUGUGUGUGUGUUGGUGUUGUGUACUCAAGUGAAUAUGAUGUUUGUGAUGUUACUCUGAGUAUGCAUCCACUGAUCCACACCGGGAAGCUGAAAAGUUAGCUUGCCCACGGUGGAAAUAAAACCCGCGACCUUUGGGAUGCUAGUCCAAUGCUCUGCCAACUGAGCUACGUGGUAAAGUCGGUUUGAGUUGUUAAUAGAGUUUUAGUAUGUCGAAAUUUACAAUUUACUUACAAUUUAGCAGAAUUAAAUGGGCGAAGUCGUAUUUAGCUAUAUAUUGGAGAAGUUGCAGGAAAGAGUAUGGGUACUAUAAUUCUUUGCGGUUUGUCAUGGAUAAUGUAGCCGCUUAAAAUUAACAAUUGUUUAAAUGAUAAAGGUGUGCAUGAUUUUGAAAAAAGACUGAUUAUCAGCAAAUUAUUGUAAGGGUGCUGCCCCCCCCGGUUGCUACGGUCCUGAGAAGUACUGAAACCGAAAAAAAAUUACAGAAUUACGAUUUGUUAAACGUUAUCCAUGUAAAUGCCGUGAUUUCGUAAAUCAUUUUAUACUGAUUAUAAUAUUAUAAUAUUUUUUCUGUUUAAUUAAACAAUUAAAAUUUUGUUAUACUAUUAUUGCCGUAAUUUUCCGAAUGGCCAACCCGAUUUUCCAAAUAUGUUAAUUCUACAAAAGUUGGGGGGUUAAUUAUUAACCACACUCCCCCAACACCCCCUCGCUACGGCCCUGUGUCCGAUUGUCUGUUGAGAAUUGAGAGAGUUAAAGUUAAAUGAACCUGUAAAAGUGUAAACCCAAUAGGCCAAUACACAAUAUGCUUUUACUUUUAUAAACGAAUUAAAAAAUUAAAAAGAAUUAAAAACGAAUUACAAACCUAAAAGAAUUAAAAACGAAAAAUAAUGUUUGUAAAAAUUCCAAACGUUCCUUGCAAGCAAGCUAUUUGCAUGACAAGGCACUGCAAACUCUAUUCAGGGGAGAUAAUAGAGUUUCAAAACUUUACAAUUGCUCCAAUAAUAUUGCUUUCUAUUUGAGUGUACUCCUACGUUUAUUUUGUAUCAUCAACACUCUGCACGUUGGAGUGGAUUAUUUAAUUAUUUUUAUUAUGCCGAAUAUUGGGGGGGUUGAAAAUUUUUUUGGAGGGGUGGACAUUUUGUUUGGGGGGGUUAUAGCUAAUAUUGGGGGGGUAGCACCCCCCUGCACCCCCCCACAAAAUCCGUCUAUGGUAUCCAAUAUCAGUAUAAGACAUCUGGCAGUAUCCGGUAUUAUUUUUGACGCAUAUUUUUGACAGUGCUGGAUAGUGCUGUAACUUUUAUUAUAAUCAUGAAAACGAAAAAAGGUUUUUGUUGUCUUUUUUGGAAAAAAGUUUUCAUGAAGUACAGUUCAUGCAACUGCUCUCUCCUGUAGAUUGCCCGAUAUUUAUGCAGCCUUAUUGUCAAAAGAGAUAAGGUGCUUAGCCGGUAAAGUAAUGGACUAUAUUAUGGGCAAAAAUGGUGGUAUUACAAUUAGUAUCCGGUUAUUAUCUGGUAUCCAGUUGUCAUAUUCCCUGAUCAGUAUCCAGUAGACUCUUAUCCGGUACCAUCCGUUAUCUCAUACCUAGCGUAUUAGCGGCUUUCCUAUUGGCUAUUCUCAUACCUGCGUUCAAUCUCUUAUCUCAUGCCUAGCGUAUUAGCGGCUUUCCUGUUGGCUACGAGGAGGUGCGUUCAACCCACCUGCUGACGUAAGUUUAGGAGGUGGGUUCGAGAUCGAUGUUUCGGCGGCGGCCAUUAUGAAGCGAUUUGAACAAAUUUCAGACGAAGAUUUAAAUAAAAAAUAAAUUAACUGUUUUUAAUUGUUUUAUAAUUAUUAUUUUUUUAUUUUGUUUGAUAAAAAUGGAAUAUUCUGUAUUCAAAGUGGAAGAGAAGAAAGAUGGCCGUCGAAAUUUUGUUCGUCACGGGCAGGUUUAUAUGAAUCCUGGCAUUGUUUUCGCAGAAUGUGUUCAUUUUCUCUUUUCAAGAAUAAGGGAAUAUUGUAGAGAAUUUUCUUAGCUUUAAUUUAAGCCUAAGUUUGUUUUUUUUUGCGUAGUAUAUGUUGGCGGCUAAAAUGUUCGUUAUCCAAACACGAAAUUAUAUACUAAAAAGUAAAAUGCUUCUAAAAUUCUUCAGUACUUUUUAGUAUUUUACCGAAAUGGCAUGUGAAAAAAAAACAUACUUGUAGGUUCGGUGAAUCCGGGAUUAGACGCACCUCGGGUGGCUGGAAGUUUCCCGAACUCACCUCGCUUCGAUCGUAUGUUUGUUAUAGAACCCACCUGCUGACGUAUGUUUAGGAGGGGGGUUCGAGAUUGAUGUUUCGGCGGAGGCCAUUGUGUAGCGAUUUGAACAAAUUUCAGACAACGGAUUUAAAUAAAAAAUAAAUUAACUGUUUUUAAUUGUUUUAUAAUUAUUAUUAGUGUGAAGUUUCACUUCACAAUGUUGUGAUGGCUGGCGAAUUCACACGAAUCGGUCAGUCAGUCAGUCAAACAGUCAGUCAUAGAGUAAACUUUCUGGGGGGUGUAUACGAUUUAUGUUCGCAGUGAUUUAUUGUACUAGUCAGUGCUUUUUUAAGCAAUUGUAUUUAUUUUCUUUAAAUAUUCUUUUGUCCUUUUGCCAAGUUCACAAAAAUUUCGAAGAAUCAUUGUCGUUAUUGUAAAUUUUGUAAUUUCAGAACAUUCGCUUCUCAUGUUAUGUAAAGGAUCUUCCCCCCGGAACACCCGAUUUUUUCUAUAGCAGCGCAAAUGCGCAUGCGCUAUGAAGCCGUAGAUUACGAUGCUGGGAAGGAACGAUAGUGUUCUUUUCAAAUGUAUAAACAUUUCAGACAUGAAUAUUGAGUAAAUCUUUGAGAAUCUACGCAAUAUAUAAAUAAAUUUAUGUUAUGCAUGAUGGUCUUUCAAUCAAGUACUGAUAUAUGUAGACGGUUUAUUCAUUAUACAAAGCUAGGAAGGAGCGACAGUGUUGUUUUCAAAUGUAUAAACAUUUCAGACGUAAAUAUUGAGAAUUUCUUUGAGAUUCUAGGCAUUCAAUUGAGUGCCGAUAUUAUUUUCACGGCAUACUCAUUAUACAGAGGUACAGUACGUAGGCAGAAGCGAGACAGUGUUGUUUUCAAGUAUGUAAACAUUUCAGACAUGAAUAUUGAGAAAAUCUUUGAGAUUCUACGUAAUAAUACAAUAUUAUGUUAUACAUUUAAUACCGGCAUUCAAUUAUUAAAGUGCCCAUCAAUAUUAUUUAGACCGUGUAUUAAUUAAUAUACAUUGCCAUUGACUGUAUAAGGUGCUACAUCACAGAAUAGAUGGCUACAGUCAGUACAAAGAGCGAAAAAUUGCAUCAGAUCUGCAUCAGAUCAAUAAAGCAUAAACAACUAUUAAACCGAACCAAGCGGGUAAAGUUUUGUGCGGCGUUUACGAAGAAAAUAACUUGCGAGACUAAAGAAAUCAGUUGAGUCAGAGCUCCCUAUAAAUAAGAAAGACGAGGAGAUAGCCAAUGUGUUAUCGCCAAUCGCUUGGCUCGCCAACAAGCUUUAUGCAAUAGAAACAAAAAGCAAGGAGUUACAUGUAGCCAACAUGCACCGUCACGGACCUUGUCUUUGUUUACUGUCUAGCACAACGCCGUUGUCAGUGCAACGAUAACUCUACCAGAUCUUACGAGAAUCAAUCUGUAGUAUUCUGGACACAGAACUGUUAAAAGCUUGUCAAAACUGCUUUAAACACUGCUUAACUGUGAAACUAUUGAAAUCUAAAGUGACGUUAUUCAACACAUGGCAAAAGCUGAAAAUAGACAUGACACUGGGAAAGUCAAAGGCACAGAAUAAAGAUCCACACAGAAGGGCCCCCUGGCCGCCAUCUUCCUAGCCAGUCGAUUACAUAUUCUGGCCAAUAAAUGCGCUGUAUUGGCUGGAGGCCCCGCCUUCUGGCCAGUCAACUGCAUAUUUUUGCAUAAAAAAAUGGCGACACGUUGCACCGCUGAGCGGCCCUUCUAGUACUAAUCUUUAUUCUGUGUCAAAGGUCAAUGAGACUUGUUAUUGUGAAACAUGUCACAAUUAGGUUAAAAUGCGGAUGGAGCGGAUCCACGGAACGGAUAUGCGGAUAAAAUACGGAACGGAUGAGGAUAAAAUGCGUCCUUUUAAUGAUGUAACGACGUAGUGCUUAUUAUUCAUAACAUAUCUUACACAGCUAUUUCAAUUAUAGUUUUAGAUAAAUUUAGCAUAGCAGUAGCUUCGUGGGGAUGCUUUUAGCGACAGCUGCAAAUGCAAAUGAAAAUUUAGAAUAUGCAAAAUUUGGUUGUUGGUGAAACAACCCGUAUAGCAUCACAAUAAAUAGAUAAAUUGCAUCAGUUUCACAAGGCACGUUUCUGGUGUGUUAGGCUUGUUUCAAACGUCACGCUACUCGUGUGCUGAGCGUAUUAAAAGCAGUAAAUGAGAUGAAAUGCCUUUGGUAACUGUUUAUUUCGUAGUGUAAGUCAUCAGCUUUUCUAGGUUGUCGGCGACCCUAUAUAGUUCUUGCAGUGUCUUUUUCAAUUUGAAACUUCACACUAUCCUUGGAUCCCUAGUUUUUUUUAUUUUGUUUGAUGAAAAUGGAAUAUUCUCUAUUCAAAGAAGAAAGAUGGCCGCCGAAAUUUGUUCGGCACGGGCAGGCUUAUAUAAAUCUUGGCAAUGUUUUUUCAGAAUUUGUGCAUUUGUCUUUUCAAGAAUAAGCCAAUAUUGUAGAGAAUUUUUUUAGAUUCAAUUUAAGCCUAAGUUUGUUUGUUCGCGCAGUGCAAUAAAAUUGACUCUGUUUUUUAUACAUCGUGUAUAUUUUAUACAUCGAUCUGGCUGAUUUGUACCUAAUGUAACAUACUUGGAAAAUAUUCUAAACACGUUACCUCAACUAUACUUAUACUACUUAAAACAAAAUAAUUAAUAAUAGUAUUUAUUCUCCGUGCACAUAACAGCAUGCAGGCCGCUAAGCAAUGAGCUCUAAUAUUUCCUUGUUAACAGGUUCUAAAAUAUUCUUCCAAAGAUUAAAAAAUGGCUGCAGCUGCUGUACCUUCUGGUAGUACUGGUGGUUCAAGUUCAGGCAAGAACGUAUUUUGUGAAGAACGAAGAUGGGUAGUUGCUGGUAUAUGUCUCCAUAAGGUUCUGACGCCUGCUCUAAGGAAGGUACUCAGUAACGAAAUUCCCAAAUGGUACCAGACUUUGAUUAAACCUCCUAUAGAAAUCGAUAAACAAAAUUUAGGAAAGUAUGAGAAAUACCUGCCGUCAUCUACAUUAAAGUUAAAUUACGACAGUAUUAACAACAAUACUAUGCGCACGUCUCCAAAGUUAUAUGAUUUCGCUGUGAAGGACCCUUUAUCUUUGGCAAAAUUGUUUAUGAAACCUUUCAUGGCAAGUUUCACUGGUUUUGACCACACCAUGGAUACCUCUGCUGUUCUGUCAGUAAUGGGUGAAGCACAACCAUUUAUUUCCUCUGGUGCUGCACUUCUGGCAAAGAAAGUCAGGUCAGAUAUCAGGAAUGAAUGGGCACAUUGUGAUUUCUCACACUGGACCGAGCCAAAUUAUCAGACUGCGAUACAAGAGAUGGAGUCAUUGGUGAAAAAAGCUGGAUUGACAUCGGUUGAAGAAAAUCUUGUCCUUGAUGAUUUAAAUAUUUGGAAGAAAAAUGG